AUGGUCUUAGCAGCCUCGUCCGCCCCGGAUUGGUGAGCCCCGCCGGAAGCCGCCUGCACACGCAUUUUCUAACAGAUAAGUCAAUCGGCAGAGACUUGCCCCCCUCUCCCCCCCCACCUUAUCCCAAAAUACCGUUUUCGCAAAGCCGGAGCCCACCAGUCACCCGGCAGCUCCCAGCACUCCCCUCUCCGCCACCCACCCUCGGCUCCUUAGCUCUAAAGGAGGGGGAUGAGGGGAUGUUUCCCCCCUCGCACCUCCUUUGGGGGUGCAAAAGGGUCGGCAGCAGCCGGCACCGGGGGUCCCGCACCCAGCCACCCCUCCGGGCCCGCAGCUUCCCCGGUGCCGCAUAACCUCUGUCCUCAGUCGGCUCUGGGAUGACGUGGCUUCGCACCCACCGCAAUUGGGGAUUUCGAGGUGUCCGUUCUGCUGGAGGCUCCUUAUGGACCGGGGGGAAAUAAAAAGAGAAGAUAGGCCUUUUCUUUUUUGUCGCGGCACGAAAUACCGUCUUUAGGCAAGGGUCUAAAGAUGCUAAAACGGCACCAGAAAUCGAAGAAAGAGAAGAUUGACCUUACCUGGAGAAGCAGCUGUGUGGGGAUGGUGAAAAUCCCCUCCUCGUGGUAACUGCCCCGAUUGCGACGUGAUGCGCAGUUCUGCGCUAAGAGGCAGCGAGAAACUGCUGUUCGUCCAACACAUUUCCCACGAGUUGCUCUCCUGCCAAGACAAGGAAUUCCGCCUCCCCCCCACCUCACCCCCCCCCCCCUUCUUCUCACCACUUACGGAUUUUUAACAGACGGCCGCAUUCAAACUGAGGGCUAGCACAGGAAAUGGCAAAGGUAGAACCCUCUUCUUUCAGGCUACAGAAACUUAUUUCACAUUUUUUAUUAAAAAAAAAAGAAAGAAAGAAAGAAAAAAAAAGGAGUUUUACUCCUCAAGAGGGAUUUUUGUUCCGCUCUCGUGAGUUCGGGGGGGUUUGGGACUGAAGUUUUCUCUCUUAGAUCCGCGUAAAUGCGUUGUUUGGGAAUUAUGAGCGCUUUAAGCUGGGGUUUUAUUACUGUUUCCCCGUUUUAAAAUAUUUCUAUUAUUAUUAAUAAUUAUUAUUAUUAUUUCGGCAUACUUUUCAUAUCCGAAAUUAACGCUCAGCCCUUUGAAGGCUGAGUGAUUUCUGAAUCUGGUCUCCAGACACCCCAUAGCCGCGAGGUUCGCUCUCAGCUGUUAUCCCCUCUUGCAUAUCCUUAUCGCCUUCAAAACCCAACGUGCAAAAGAAGAGUGAACGUAUCCAAAGUAACGCACACUGCACACCACCUCGAAACCGUGAUAGGACCCCCCCCGUCCCAUCCCAGCACAGCAGAAAGCUCCGCACCCCCGGAUCCCCCCCACCUCCUUCAUCUCAGUGCUAAAGCAUCUGGAAAAGGAAGGUGCCAAUUCUAAUAAACGAUAACAACUGCCCUUAACAAUAGUAAAAGUGCUUAAAUAUGUUGCCGGCCAAAAAUAAAUAAAAAUAAAUAAAUAGGAUCGUCCGCUCUUUUAUUUUUCUGAUGCCAAAACUUCCACAUCAGCAAAAGAUGGCAGUGGAGCAGACCUGAAAGCUGCAUCUUGUGAAGGCGUUUUGUGUUUGGUCGCUGGCGGUGCAGCAAUACCGACCCGAGGAGCUGUUUGUUAAGGAUGAAUUUUUGCAGCUGUGUGUUUCAAAGGGGAGCGCUGUGUGGAAUUGGUUCCCUCUCCCUACAAACAAGAAAGAUUAUUUAUAAACAACAUCUGAGCUAGGAAGCCUCUGGGUUUCCGUUGCAAGCUGACAACACUCCCAGUUUUUUUCCUCACAGGCAAAGAAUACACUUGGCACUGAUUCUGAGAGCAGCAAAAAGUUUCCACUUCGGACUUUUUUUAGGGGGGUAACUGUUUCUAGUUCCACUUUACCGACCAGCAAUAAACCCAUACCUCAAGUGAAGGCAGCCGGUGUGCAAAGCGAGCACAGCUCGCACACCCUGGCUGCUCUAACUCAAAAACUCAUCCCGAAAUUGACUCCCCGAGGUCCCUUUCUCCCCGGCUUUUCCUCCUCUGAGUUUUUUGUUUUUUGUUUUUUGUUUUUUUUUUCUUUUUUUCUCAAAGAGAAGAGCCUUUCAUACCAUUUCUUUCGGGGUCUAUUUGAGGCUUUCAUGUAUGAAGUCACAGGAAACAGACAGCACCACGCGAGCGGGGCUCCCAGAUCUGGGAUGGAGCGGCUGCUCGCCUGGAGUCCCUCUCAGCAAAGGUUACAAAGAGAUGAGCUAUGGGAAUAUGCAUCAAAAAUAAACUACUGAACAAACGGAAACCUCCAGAGGAGCGAAAGCAAAUGGAUUUGGCAGAUCAUCUUGUGAGGUUUCCAUCCACCAGGGAUCUGAGAACUCCUGCUCUUUGCCUCACAGCCACACUCCUAAGAGUCUUCUUGGUCUGAAUUUAUAUACUACAGAAGAUUAUAUACUCACAUGCUGACACAGUUCAUCAUUAUUUAUAGGAGGCGCACCAGGAUUUUUUUUUUCCCAAGAAUAUAUUUAUUACAGGUAAGACACAGCCAAUCUAUCUAGCAAACAGAGAACAGGUGUUUUGCUUCAAUUAACGUUCAAUAAUUUUAUCUAUACUUAUUCAACACCCCGAUGCCAACACGGCUGUUUAUCCAUCACUUGUAUAAACACAUUUCCACGAGCCAGGAGAGUUUAAUCUCCAGAACUCGCUUAAAUCAGCC
ensembl:lncRNA